rnacentral:rRNA from 1 species
GGACGAACGCUGGCGGCGUGCCUAAUACAUGCAAGUAGAACGCUGAAGAGAGGAGCUUGCUCUUCUUGGAUGAGUUGCGAACGGGUGAGUAACGCGUAGGUAACCUGCCUGGUAGCGGGGGAUAACUAUUGGAAACGAUAGCUAAUACCGCAUAAAAUGGAUUAUCGCAUGAUAAUCCAUUGAAAGGUGCAAAUGCAUCACUACCAGAUGGACCUGCGUUGUAUUAGCUAGUUGGUGGGGUAACGGCUCACCAAGGCGACGAUACAUAGCCGACCUGAGAGGGUGAUCGGCCACACUGGGACUGAGACACGGCCCAGACUCCUACGGGAGGCAGCAGUAGGGAAUCUUCGGCAAUGGACGGAAGUCUGACCGAGCAACGCCGCGUGAGUGAAGAAGGUUUUCGGAUCGUAAAGCUCUGUUGUAAGAGAAGAACGAGUGUGAGAGUGGAAAGUUCACACUGUGACGGUAUCUUACCAGAAAGGGACGGCUAACUAC